rnacentral:rRNA from 1 species
AACGAACGCUGGCGGCAUGCUUAACACAUGCAAGUCGAACGAGACCUCCGGGUCUAGUGGCGCACGGGUGCGUAAGGCGGGGUAACCUGCCCGUAGGUUCCGAAUAACUCCCCGAAAGGGGUGCUAAUACCGGUUAAUGUCUUCGGACCAAAGAUCUAUCGCCUUUGGAUGGGCCCGCGUUGGAUUAGGUAGUUGGGAGGGUAAAAGCCUACCAAGGCGGUGAUCCAGCGCUGGUCUGAGAGGAUGAUCAGCAACACUGGGACUGGGACACGGCCCAGACUGCUGCGGGAGGCAGCAGUGGUGAAUAAUGGACAAUAGGCGAAAGCCUGAUCCAGCAAUGCCGGGUGAGUGAUGUAGGCCUUAGAGUUGUUAUGCUCUUUUACCCGGGAUGAUGAUAACAGUACCGGGAGAAUAGACCCCGGCUAACACCGU